rnacentral:rRNA from 1 species
UACGUAGGGGGCCAGCGUUGUCCGGAUUUAUUGGGCGUAAAGCGCGUGUAGGCGGCUUUACAUGUCCGUUGUGAAAACUCGAGGCUCAACCUCGAGACGCCGGUGGAAACCGUAAAGCUAGAGUCCGGAAGAGGAGAGUGGAAUUCCUGGUGUAGCGGUGAAAUGCGCAGAUAUCAGGAGGAACACCCGUGGCGAAAGCGGCUCUCUGGGACGGUACUGACGCUGAGACGCGAAAGCGUGGGGAGCAAACAGG